rnacentral:rRNA from 1 species
AUUAUUCGACAAUGGGCGAAAGCCUGAUCCAGCCAUGCCGCGUGUGUGAAGCAGGUAGUCGGAUUUUAAUGUUCUGUAAGUUGUGAGUAAGGGCGGUAAGAUAUUACAUUGCUGUUUUGACGGUACCGACAGAGUAAGUACCGGCUAAUUUCGUGCCAGCAGCCGCGGUAAUACGCAGGGUGCAAGCGUUAAUCGGAAUUACUGGGCGUAAGGCGCGCGUAGGUGGUUUGUUAAGUUGGAAGUGAAAGCCCCGGGCUCAACCUGGGAACUGCUUUCAAAACUGGUAAGCUAGAGUAUGGCAGAGGGUGGUGGAACUUCCUGGGUAGCGGUGAAAUGCGUAGAUAUAGGAAGGAACACCAGUGGCGAAGGCGACCACCUGGGCUAAUACUGACACUGAGGUGCGAAAGCGUGAGGAGCAAACA